AUUGAACGCUCGCGGCAUGCUUUACACAUGCAAGUCGAACGGCAGCGCGGGCUUCGGCCUGGCGGCGAGUGGCGAACGGGUGAGUAAUGCAUCGGAACGUGCCCAGUAGUGGGGGAUAGCCCGGCGAAAGCCGGAUUAAUACCGCAUACGACCUGAGGGUGAAAGCGGGGGACCGAAAGGCCUCGCGCUAUUGGAGCGGCCGAUGUCGGAUUAGCUAGUUGGUGGGGUAAAGGCUUACCAAGGCGACGAUCCGUAGCUGGUCUGAGAGGACGACCAGCCACACUGGGACUGAGACACAGCCCAGACUCCUACGGGAGGCAGCAGUGGGGAAUUUUGGACAAUGGGGGCAACCCUGAUCCAGCCAUGCCGCGUGCGGGAAGAAGGCCUUCGGGUUGUAAACCGCUUUUGUUCGGGAAGAAAUCCUCUGGGCUAAUACCCCGGGGGGAUGACGGUACCGGAAGAAUAAGCACCGGCUAACUACGUG
rnacentral:rRNA from 1 species